rnacentral:rRNA from 1 species
CUGGACUGGGCGGUCUGCCUAACGGUAUGUACUGUCCGGCUGGGUCUUACCUCUUGGUGAGCCGGCAUGCCCUUCACUGGGUGUGUCGGGGAACCAUGACUUUUACCUUGAGAAAAUUAGAGUGUUCAAAGCAGGCUUAUGCCCGAAUACAUUAGCAUGGAAUAAUAAAAUAGGACGUGCGGUUCUAUUUUGUUGGUUUCUAGAGUCGCCGUAAUGAUUAAUAGGGAUAGUUGGGGGCAUUAGUAUUCCGUUGCUAGAGGUGAAAUUCUUGGAUUUACGGAAGACUAACUAUUGCGAAAGCAUUUGCCAAGGAUGUUUUCAUUAAUCAAGAACGAAGGUUAGGGGAUCGAAAACGAUCAGAUACCGUUGUAGUCUUAACAGUAAACUAUGCCGACUAGGGAUCGGGCGAACUCAAUUUGAUGUGUCGCUCGGCACCUUACGAGAAAUCGAAGUCUUUGGGUUCUGGGGGGAGUAUGGUCGCAAGGCUGAAACUUAAAGGAAUUGACGGAAGGGCACCACCAGGUGUGGAGCCUGCGGCUUAAUUUGACUCGACACGGGGAAACUCACCAGGUCCAGACAUGACUAGGAUUGACAGAUUGAUAGCUCUUUCAUGAUUUUAUGGGUGGUGGUGCAUGGCCGUUCUUAGUUGGUGGAGUGAUUUGUCUGGUUAAUUCCGAUAACGAACGAGACCUUAACCU